rnacentral:misc_RNA from 1 species
UGCACUAUAUUUUCCCAUAGACAUGUAACGUGUUCAUCAUACAUUGAGGAAAUAUUCACAAGGAUAAUGUUACUUCACGGAUGAAACAAUGAACUACUGUUUCUACAUCUCUCAAGGAAUAGUGCAAUGAGAUAGGAAAACAUCAAGGCACAGAAAUUUUGAGCUUCCUUCUCUCUACGUAAUAACUAAAAAUAUACAUCCAUCCUCAAGUUGUUCCCUGCGGAUCACCUUUCCAAUAUCCUCAAUUCGUUCCUGCAUCCAUAAUUCUCUAAACAUUUCCAGGAAGGAAGCUUCCAUCUGAUGACGUAAACCAUUCAAGUGUUUAAAUUGCUUCAGAAAAGUUUCCAGUGCUGAAAAUCUUUUCUUGGUGAGGAGGGAGAAGAAAAAUGAGAGAAAAUAGCUCGCCCAAUCAUAGUCAAACUGUAAACAAUCCCAGCAACAUAAAAGAGCAUAACCAAAGCAAGCACCCAUGGCAUCAUUAAAAAGCCAAUAAAGAAAGUGACGGAUCCACAAAGCAUCAAAGCAAAAGAAAUCCCCAGAAGCAGAGAUGCAAAUCCGGCCGGAGUAAUUUGCUGCAUCGACCCUGCGACAGACAUCCUCCUCCCUGAAGAGGAUGGAGAAUCAUCGUAAAACUCAAUUGGCGCCGGUGGUGAUCGUAUAAUAUUUAAAAUCAAAGAAGAAAGUUGUUCUAGAACCUUAGAUUGUUGAUCCUGUUGCCUUCUCAUCAUAUUAGAUUGAAAAUUACAGAAGAAAAACAAGGCAAAUGGAAAAGACGUGAGGUCGAAAUAGAAUUAUCCCCCCAACAAUAUAUUAAAAGGCCUCUAUCUAGGCUUUUUGUUUGCUUUCCUUUUGCCCUGUUUGGAGAAUUCAAAAAUUAAAAGUAUUACUAUGGCACAUAAGGGGGAAAGAGAGAAAGAAAGUUGCUUUAUGUUGAAGGUAUAGAUUUAUGAAAAAGUAGACAAGAAGG